rnacentral:rRNA from 1 species
UACAGAGGUCUCAAGCGUUGUUCGGAUUCAUUGGGCGUAAAGGGUGCGUAGGUGGCGCGCUAAGUCAGGUGUGAAAUUUCGGAGCUUAACUCCGAAACUGCAUUUGAUACUGGCGUGCUUUGAGGACUGGAGAGGACGACUGGAAUUCAUGGUGUAGCAGUGAAAUGCGUAGAGAUCGAUGAGGAAGACCAGUGGCGAAGGCGGGUCUCUGGACAGUUCCUGACACUGGAGGCACGAAGGCCAGGGGAGCAAACAGG